rnacentral:lncRNA from 1 species
CUAAAUUGCCCAGGUUGGGCUCCAACUUGUGAGCCUCCCAGAUUGCUGAGAUUACAAUGUGUCACCAUGCCCAGCUGCCUGAGUGAGUGUCUUAAACUCUCCUGUUGCUCUUUUCCUAUUUGCAGAACAGCAUCUUCUCCAAACCGCAGCUAAACUCCCGUAAGAAUUUACCAAGGGCAGGCUGUUUCCUCAGUACGUUGCCUGAUACAACUAAGUGGAUGCUUGCCCUAACCCUGUGAAAGAACUGCUGCUCCCACUUCACGGAUGAUGAGCAGGGAGGACAGCAUCGUAAGGGUGGGAUGAGAUGAAAGACCUAGAGAUGGGGAGACACUCCAGAUGGAUCCUGAAUAUCCACCACAAUCCUUAAAAGAGAGAUGCUGGAGGGUCAGAAGUGGACAGAAGGUGAUGAGAGGAUGACAGCAGGGCCUGGAGUGAUACAUGUUGAAGAGGAAGGAAGGGGCCAUGAGCCAAUGGAUGCAGGUGGCUGCUACAGCCUGGCAGAGGCCUACCUGGAAACAAAGUCUACCCUGGAUCCUCCAGCAGGAAGCAGCCCUGUGAACACCCUGAUCGUAACCCAGUGAAGCUGAUUUGGUACUUCCAGCUGCCGGAGCUGUAAGGAAAUGAACUGUGUUGCUUCAAGCCACUGUGUUUGUGCUCAUGUGUUAUGGUAGCAAAAGGAAACUCAUACAACCUAUCAACUUUUCUCCUUUCCCAUUGCCCCUCCCUGGCUUUAUUUCCAACGCACUGCAACUUCUUCCUAAGGGUCUCCUGCCUCCAGCUUUGCCUCCUCUGAGGCUUCCUCCAUGAGACCACCAAAGUGCUUGCCCCUCAUUCACAUCCUUGGGGGCUCUUCCGUUUGGAGGAGAAGAGAACACCAGGCCUGUCCUCAGCUCAGCUUUUAGACUUGGCCCUGCCCACCUCUCUCUACUUCAGACUUCCAGCUGCCAGAUUUCUAAACGCAUUCCAUGGUUUAAUAUACCUACAUUUCUGUUCUUUCCUGCAAGAAUAGGUUCCCUUUGCUUUUUUUUUCCUACUGAACUAUUGUCCGUACAGCAAAACCCAAUACAGACAUAACUUCCUCCACGAAGCCUUUUCCAACUCUUUUUCUCCUCGUGGAGUUAAUGACAGAUUUCUCUGACCUCACUCAAUCUUGAUUCUUUGAUUCCAUUGUUG